rnacentral:rRNA from 1 species
GACGAACGCUGGCGGCGUGCUUAACACAUGCAAGUCGAACGGAAAGGCCCUGCUUGCAGGGUACUCGAGUGGCGAACGGGUGAGUAACACGUGGGUGAUCUGCCCUGCACUUCGGGAUAAGCCUGGGAAACUGGGUCUAAUACCGGAUAUGACCUUCCAUGUAGUGUGGGGGGUGGAUAGAUUUAUCGGUGUGGGAUGAGCCCGCGGCCUAUCAGCUUGUUGGUGGGGUACUGGCCUACCAAGGCGUCGACGGGUAGCCGGCCUGAGAGGGUGGACGGCCACAUUGGGACUGAGAUACGGCCCAGACUCCUACGGGAGGCAGCAGUGGGGAAUAUUGCACAAUGGGCGGAAGCCUUAUGCAGCGACGCCGCGUGGGGGAUGACGGCCUUCGGGUUGUAAACCUCUUUCGACAGGGACGAAGCUUCGGUGACGGUACCUGUAGAAGAAGCACCGGCUAACUACGUG